UAGGGAAUCUUCGGCAAUGGGGGGAACCCUGACCGAGCAACGCUGCGUGAGUGAAGAAGGUUUUCGGAUCGUAAAGCUCUGUUGUUAAGGAAGAACGAGUGUGAGAAUGGAAAGUUCAUACUGUGACGGUACUUAACCAGAAAGGGACGGCUAACUACGUGCCAGCAGCCGCGGUAAUACGUAGGUCCCGAGCGUUGUCCGGAUUUAUUGGGCGUAAAGCGAGCGCAGGCGGUUAGAUAAGUCUGAAGUUAAAGGCAGUGGCUCAACCAUUGUAGGCUUUGGAAACUGUUUAACUUGAGUGCAGAAGGGGAGAGUGGAAUUCCAUGUGUAGCGAUGAAAUGCGUAGAUAUAUGGAGGAACACCGGUGGCGAAAGCGGCUCUCUGGUCUGUAACUGACGCUGAGGCUCGAAAGCGUGGGGAGCGAACAGG
rnacentral:rRNA from 1 species